rnacentral:rRNA from 1 species
UAAUACGGAGGAUGCAAGCGUUAUCCGGAUUCACUGGGUUUAAAGGGUGCGCAGGCGGGAUGAUAAGUCAGAGGUGAAAUCCUACGGCUCAACUGUAGAACUGCCUUUGAUACUGUCGUUCUUGAGUAAAGUUGGAGUGGGCGGAAUGUGUUGUGUAGCGGUGAAAUGCUUAGAUAUAACACAGAACACCGAUCGCGAAGGCAGCUCACUAAGCUUUAACUGACGCUCAUGCACGAAAGCGUGGGGAUCAAACAGGAUUAGAUACCCUGGUAGUCCACGCUGUAAACGAUGAUCACUCGCUGUUGGCGAUACACUGCCAGUGGCUAAGCGAAAGUGAUAAGUGAUCCACCUGGGGAGUACGAUCGCAAGAUUGAAACUCAAAGGAAUUGACGG